UUUAAUUAUCAUAUAUAAAAGUGAAAAUAUAAAAUAUAAAUUAAUUUUAGUUGGGGCAACUGGGAGGGAUAAAAAUCUUUUAUUAAAUCAUUUAUAGUAAUAUUUAUAUUUAUGAUCCAAAUUAGUCAAUUUUGAACUUAGAAU
rnacentral:rRNA from 1 species